rnacentral:tRNA from 2 species
AGGGCAGUGGCUCAAUUGGAAGAGCACCGGUCUCCAAAACCGGCGGUUGGGGGUUCGAGUCCCUCCUGCCCUGCAA